rnacentral:rRNA from 1 species
UACGUAGGGGGCAAGCGUUGUCCGGAUUUAUUGGGCGUAAAGAGCGUGUAGGCGCCAGGUAGGUCUGCUGUGAAAACUCGAGGCUUAACCUCGAGAUGUCGGCGGAAACCAUCUGGCUAGAGUCCGGAAGAGGAGAAUGGAAUUCCCGGUGUAGCGGUGAAAUGCGCAGAUAUCGGGAAGAACACCCGUGGCGAAGGCGGUUCUCUGGGACGGUACUGACGCUGAGACGCGAAAGCGUGGGGAGCGAACAGG